rnacentral:rRNA from 1 species
CCGCGUGAGCGAUGAAGCCCUUCGGGGUGUAAAGCUCUUUCGGCAGGGACGAUAAUGACGGUACCUGAAGAAGAAGCUGCGGCUAACUACGUGCCAGCAGCCGCGGUAAUACGUAGGCAGCAAGCGUUGUUCGGAGUUACUGGGCGUAAAGGGUGUGUAGGUCGGUUCUCUAAGUUUGGUGUGAAAUCUCCCGGCUCAACUGGGAGGGUGCGCCGAAAACUGGAGGGCUUGAGUAUGGGAGAGGAAAGCGGAAUUCCUGGUGUAGCGGUGAAAUGCGUAGAUAUCAGGAGGAACACCUGUGGUGUAGACGGCUUUCUGGACCAUUACUGACGCUGAGGCACGAAAGCGUGGGGAGCAAACAGGAUUAGAUACCCUGGUAGUCCACGCCCUAAACGAUGCAUACUUGGUGUGAGCGAUUCAUUUCGUUCGUGCCGGAGCUAACGCGUUAAAUAUGCCGCCUGGGGAGUACGGUCGCAAGGCUG